rnacentral:rRNA from 1 species
UACGGGGGGAGCAAGCGUUGUUCGGAUUUACUGGGCGUAAAGGGCGCGUAGGCGGUCAGCACAAGUCAGUUGUGAAAUCUCCGGGCUUAACUCGGAAAGGUCAAGUGAUACUGUCGGACUAGAGUACAGAAGGGGCAACUGGAAUUCUCGGUGUAGCGGUGAAAUGCGUAGAUAUCGGAAGGAACAUCAGUGGCGAAAGCGGCUUCCUGGACCAGUACCGACGUUCAGGCACGAAAGCGUGGGGAGCAAACAGG